UAAAAAAAAUUAUUAUUUAAAAAAUUUUUGAUUUUUAUAUUAAAAUAAAUAAAUUAUAUUUUAUUUUUAAAAAAUUAUAUUAAUUAUAGAUUAUUAGUAUUGUAAAAGAAAUUUAAAUUGAUAAAAUUUUAAAAAGAAAAAUUAAUUUUUUGUACCUUGUGUAUCAGGGAUUAUUAAUUAAAUUAUUUAAAUAAAUUAUUCUCGAAUUUAAAAGAUCUAAUUAAUUAUAAAUUUUAUUGUAAAAUAAAUAUUUAAAAUUUUUAGUUAGUAAUGAAAUGUUAUUCGUUUUUAAAUAUAUCUAGUUUUUUUAGAAAUAAAUUUAAUUUAUUUAUUAUUUUAUAUUUAUUUUAUUAAAAAUAAAAUUUAAAUAAUAAUAAAAUUUUUAAGGGUUAAGCUUUAAAAAUUAAAUAUUAAAAAUUUUUAUUUUGUAAAUAAUUUGUAGGAUUAGAAUUUUUUUUCAUUAAAAUAAUGUUAUAAUUAAUUAUUUUUUUUAAAUUAUUUAUAUUAAUAUUUUAAUUUUUCUAUAAAAAUAAAAUUUUAAAUUUUAAAAAUUUUGUAAUAAUGAUAUUAUUAGUAUAAUUAUAUGUAUUUAUAAUUUUAAAUUUAAGAUUAAAAUAAGGAAUUCGGCAAAUAUAAUUUUUACCUGUUUAUUAAAAACAUGUCUUUUUGAAAAUAAUUUAAAGUCUAACCUGCUCAAUGAAAUUUAAAUAGCCGCAGUAUUUUGACUGUGCAAAGGUAGCAUAAUCAUUAGUUUUUUAAUUGAAAGCUGGAAUGAAAGGUUGAAUAAAAAAUUAUCUGUCUCAUUUUAAUUUAAUUAGAAAUUUAUUUUUAAGUAAAAAAGCUUAAAUAUUUAUAAAAGACGAGAAGACCCUAUAGAGUUUAACAAUAAAUUAUUUAAAAAUUUAUUUAUUAUUUAAUAAUAAUUAAUUAAUGAAUUGUUUGAUUGGGGUGAUUAAAAAAUUUAAAAAACUUUUUUUUUAUAUAUACAUAUAUUUAUGAUUCAUUGAUCCAUUUUUUAUGAUUAAAAGAUUAAAUUACCUUAGGGAUAACAGCGUAAUUUUUUUUUAGAGUUCAUAUUAAAAAAAAAGAUUGCGACCUCGAUGUUGGAUUAAAAUUAAUUUAUGGUGCAGAAGCUAUAAUAUUUAGUCUGUUCGACUAUUAAAAUUUUACAUGAUCUGAGUUUAGACCGGUGUGAGCCAGGUCGGUUUCUAUCUUUAUAAAAUUUAAAUAAUUUAGUACGAAAGGACCAGUUAUUU
rnacentral:rRNA from 1 species